UACGUAGGGUGCAAGCGUUAAUCGGAAUUACUGGGCGUAAAGCGUGCGCAGGCGGCUCGGAAAGCAAGAUGUGAAAUCCCAGGGCUUAACCUUGGAAUGGCAUUUUUAACUACCGGGCUAGAGUGUUGUCAGAGGGGGGGUGGAAUUCCACGUGUAGCAGGUGAAAUGCGUAGAGAUGUGGAGGGACACCGAUGGCGAAGGCAGCCCCCUGGGAUAACACUGACGCCUCAGGCACGAAAGCGUGGGGAGCAAACAGG
rnacentral:rRNA from 1 species